CUUGGUCAUUUAGAGGAAGUAAAAGUCGUAACAAGGUUUCCGUAGGUGAACCUGCGGAAGGAUCAUUAUUGAAAUAAACCUGAUGGGUUGUUGCUGGUUCUCUAGGGAGCAUGUGCACACUUGUCAUCUUUAUAUCUCCACCUGUGCACCUUUUGUAGAUCUGGAUAGCUUUCCAAAUGCUAGUCAUUUGGGUUUGAAGAUUGACUUUUCUGUCUUUCUUUACUUUUCAGGUCUAUGUUUCUCCAUAUACCCCAAUGUAUGUUAUAGAAUGUAAUUAAUGGGCCUUUGUGCCUAUAAAUCUAUACAACUUACAGCAACGGAUCUCUUGGUUCUCGCAUCGAUGAAGAACGCAGCGAAAUGCGAUAAGUAAUGUGAAUUGCAGAAUUCAGUGAAUCAUCGAAUCUUUGAACGCACCUUGCGCUCCUUGGUAUUCUGAGGAGCAUGCCUGUUUGAGUGUCAUUAAUAUAUCAACCUCUUCAGCUUUGCUUGUCGAGUGUUGGAUGUGGGGGGUAUUCUUCUUGCUGGUCUCUCUUCGAGGUCAGCUCCCCUGAAAUAUAUUAGCGGGACAAUUUGUUGACUGUUCAUUGGUGUGAUAACUAUCUACGCUAUUGAACGUGAGGCAGGUUCAGCUUCUAACAGUCCAUUGACUUGGACAAAUCUUUCAUUAAUGUGACCUCAAAUCAGGUAGGACUACCCGCUGAACUUAAGCAUAUCAAUAAGCGGAGGA
rnacentral:rRNA from 1 species